UACAGAGGUCUCAAGCGUUGUUUCGGAUUCAUUGGGCGUAAAGGGUGCGUAGGUGGCGCCGUAAGUCAGGUGUGAAAUUUCGGAGCUUAACUCCGAAACUGCAUUUGAUACUGCGGUGCUUGAGGACUGGAGAGGAGACUGGAAUUCAACGGUGUAGCAGUGAAAUGCGUAGAUAUCGUGAGGAAGACCAGUGGCGAAGGCGGGUCUCUGGACAGUUCCUGACGCUGAGGCAACGAAGGCCCAG
rnacentral:rRNA from 1 species